GGCCCCGUGGCGGAACGGCAGACGCAGCGGACUUAAAAUCCGCUUUCGCGCAAGCGGAGUGUGGGUUCGACUCCCACCGGGGCCA
rnacentral:tRNA from 1 species